rnacentral:tRNA from 2 species
GCCGAAGUUAGUCGGGGAACGGCCACGGAUGGCGUCCGUGCGGAGCUGCUGCUGCGUGUACUGGCGCGGAGCCAGCUCCUUGGCA